AUUCUGGGAAGAGUAGUCCAGGAGGGCGGGGAAAGGACGCUGUGGGAAACGAGACUGUGUGCUGUUUUGCUGGGGAUUCUGGGAAAUGUAGUCCGAGAGCUGUGUGCAGCCGGAGCCCUCCCGUUGCAGGAGGGUGAGGUCCUCAUCAAUCCCCUCUGGGAGCAGGAUCCUAUUAAACCAAGCCACACAAGACUCCUUCCACAAAAUGAGACGCCACAUAUGGGAAAACAACAAGACUCUAGAAUGUAAAGGACAAAAAUACAGAAUCUUCAGAAUUCUUAAAUUGAGGGGAAAAAGCAAAAAACUGUGACUGCAAAUGUCUUCAAAACAGCAAAAAUUGAUAAAGCACACAAAUAUGGAGAAUGAAGAAAAAUAAAAUUAGGCAAACUAUGGAAAAUGAAGUGGCCAUUUAAAAUGUAGGCAAAAUAAAACAAAAUUUAAAACUCAAAA